CUCCCCGCUCAGGGUUUGGGGCCCCCAUGCCGGGCUCUCGAGCUCCGCUGCCGGCACGGGGGGCGCGGAGCCGGAGCGCGUCCCGCCUGCACCUGCGUCAUGGGGGCCGGGGCGCGCAGGUGUUCUGGCUGAGGCCGCCGCCGUCGGGGCUGUGCGCCCCAGGUGGCUGCCGCAGGCCUGCGCAGGUGCCCUCCCGCCCUGCCUCUCCCGCGGCUCCCACAGGCCGCCUGGCUCCGGCCGGUCCUCGAGGAACCCCUUGCGGCUGCAUGCCCGGGACAGCUGGCCUUGGCCAACGCCUGUGGGCGGCCGAGGACCGCGAGCUGCACCGCCUGAGCCCCAGGGUGCCGAUCCCGGGGGCCGCGGGAGCUCUGGCCUGAAGUCCUUAGCACUGGACUCGCAUCCCGACUGCCCUAUGUGACCUUGGGCAGGUGACUUAAUGCCACUGAACCCUUGGCUUCUUCAUCGGAGAAUAGGAGACGACUCCACCCUGAAAGCAUUGCUGUGAGGUAUCAGAACGCUUGUUGACGCGGAAGAGGAAAAAAGGAAGCGAAGACUGAUAUCGAGGCGGAUUUUGGCUUUCAUGUCCUCUUCUGACCCUCAGCUGAGGGCAGGAGCUACAACCUGCAUCUUUAGAGCAUCAGCACUCAGGUGGAGGCCUCAGCAGAAGCCAUUCCCUCUUUCUAUGUUUCAUUUCCACUGCUUGCAAGAAUGAACGCCUCAAUCCACCUCUGCUUUCCUUGACGUGCCUUACAUUUCCUAGCCGUCUCCUUUCACCGGGGAAAUUCACCAGGAAGUGCCCCAUGUGCCCACCGGCACAGACUUAAACCUGUCCCACCUGCUAGUCACUUAGAAAGGAUUCACCUGCCGCUCCUACCAUAGUGUUUCCUAGGGCCAGGGCUCUCUGACAACACAACACAGUAGGACAAAAUACCUAGCAUGCAACCUUCUCUCAACAAAAGAGCUGAACGAGAUCUUACUUAGGCAAGGCAGGGAAAGGAAUAUGGUGAAACAUGGCAAGGUCUCUCUUCCCAGUGGACUUACCUUCUGGUUGGAAGAACAAGACUCAUUCAUAAAAAAAAACACACAAAAAACUGACAAGGGCAAGAGAGAGGCUGCUUUGGGAAAUGGGGUCAUGGUCUCUACAGAGCAAGGACCUUGGUGAUAACAGAACACCUGGCCUCUGCAGACCUCCCCUGGCUCUUUUCCACUUGUGCAACCCCAGCCCCGAACAACGAAGACCAAAAGAGAUUUUAGCUUCGGCAAAACCCUAAACGUCUUUGACUUUCAGGUUCAGAUGCUUCAUUUGUAAAAGUGGGAUAACUUCAGAUUGUGAGGACCAGAUGAAUUUAGGAAUGUGUAUAGACAUGGCAAAGCACUGUAAGCAGCUAUCUGGAUUCUUAUUUUAUUCGUUUGUAGUAGUGUGUGUAGUGCAUCAUGCUGCAUUUAUUUGUGCACAUUUCCAUCUUACUACAUAGCAAACUUGAAGGUCUGGGGAAAAGCCAUCUUCCCUGAGCAAGUGGAAGGGGAGUAAUUAAACAAAUCAGGACCCUGCGAGCAAAGAAGAAGUGGAGGCAAGGGGCAGGUAAGGCUGUUGGGUAGGUCUGCUGCACACAUUAGCACGUCCCACUACUUUGAACCCAGCCACCUCCCACCGUCCCCACUCUAGUCCAAGCCCCACCCCCCAUUUCUGGAUGCCUACAGUAGCCUCCUAACCAGUUUUCUGCUUCUGCUCUUGAACCCCUAUAAUGCAGUCUCCACACAGCAGCUGUAAUAAUCUCUCUAAAACACAACGUAGGCAAUGAUGCUUGCUUAACCCUGCUAUUGCACCUGUAAUAAAAGCUGUUCUCCUUCCAAGUCCCUUUAGCUCUGUGAUCUCAUCUUGUAUAGCUCUCCCCUUCUCUCACUCUGUUUCCUUGAACACAUGGGGCUCACUCCUACCUAUGGACCUUUGCACUCACUAUUUUCUCUGCCUGGAGCGCUCUAUCCAGAUCCCGCAUGGCUAACACCCUGUCAUGCCCUCUCAGCUCCAGUGUCACCUUCUUAGAGAGCCGCUCCUUCUCAGCAGCAGCCCCCACCUCCCAUCUCUUUUGGGGCCAUUGUCCGGUUUUGUUUUCUCACGUGCAAUGGCUCUCUGAGAUCGUCUUCUUAAUUUGUUAUGUGUUUGCCCAUGAAAAUGUCAGCUCCUUAAGAGCACAGACUCUUUUUGUCCACCACUGUAACCCUGGCAUCCGCUACAGUGCUUGGCACAUAGUGGACACUCAAUAAAUAUUUGUUGAAGGAA